rnacentral:lncRNA from 1 species
UCCAAACAAAUUCCGCCACUUUAUCUCAGAAAUUUGGGUGAAAAAAAUCAGUAGCUGCUCUCAGCAAUGGCCACAGUGGGAAGGAACGUGGCAGCUCCUUUGCUGUUUCUUAACUUGAUCAUGUACUUCAUAGUUCUAGGUUUUUCGAGUUGGUGUCUGAACAGGUUUAUCAAUGGCCAAACUUACCACCCUAGUAAGCUCACACUUCCUAUCUCUACACCUCUUUUUGUUUUGCAAAUGUAUUAAAUCAAAUGACUCUGCUUUCAGGUUUUGGAGGAAACGGUGCAACCAUGUUUUUCUUAACCUUCUCUAUACUAGCAGCGAUUCUGGGCAUAGUGUCAAAAUUUUUGGGUGGGAAUCACAUGAGGAGAUGGAGGAGUGACAGUUUAGCAUCUGCAGGAGCAGCAUCAGUGGUUGCUUGGGGUGUGACUGCUCUAGCAUUCGGGUAAAACAUUAAGUUGAAUAUUUAGAUAAAAGUUAUUGUAAGAAAAUGAUUUUUGAGUAUGUUGCAGGUUGGCUUGCAAGGAAAUAAACAUAGGAGGGCACAGAGGGUGGAGGUUGAAGAUAGUGGAGGCUUUUAUAAUCAUACUCACAUUCACACAAUUGUUGUACGUGUUGCUGAUACACGCAGGUCUAUAUAGCAGCAGAUAUGGUCCCGGCUACCGUGACAAUGACUAUCCUAUGGGAGCGACUACAGGAGAUCCAAUGCACAAGCCUGCGCCUGUUCCUGCUACUGCAACUCGUGUCUAAACUCCACUUCGCCUCUUCCAUCAUCUUCUGCUUUACCUUUCUGCCUUUUCUUUUUUCCUUUUUCUUUCCAUGCCUAGAGUAACGCCUUUACCUUUGUUUUUUUUCAUGUCAAAAGUCCCUUUCUACCAUCACAUUCUGUAUAUCAAUCAAUGCAUCUAAUGGCUUUAGUAAAUUUAUCAAAUAAUUUAUGACUCUCGCAAUCCUGGUGAAAAUUGAAAAUUAUUAAAGAGUAUCAUAUGAAUAAUAUAGAUUAAAAUGCAUA